rnacentral:rRNA from 1 species
AACGUAGGUCACAAGCGUUGUCCGGAAUUACUGGGUGUAAAGGGAGCGCAGGCGGGAAGACAAGUUGGAAGUGAAAUCCAUGGGCUCAACCCAUGAACUGCUUUCAAAACUGUUUUUCUUGAGUAGUGCAGAGGUAGGCGGAAUUCCCGGUGUAGCGGUGGAAUGCGUAGAUAUCGGGAGGAACACCAGUGGCGAAGGCGGCCUACUGGACACCAACUGACGCUGAGGCUCGAAAGUGUGGGUAGCAAACAGG